GGGCUUUGGGACUGCAAGGGGUGGUCACCUGUUUUGCAAACAGGAAAACAGAUGGGUUCGAUUCCCAUAAGGUCCACCA
rnacentral:tRNA from 1 species